AUGGAAGCGUUUUUCGCGGAGGUGUUGUAUCUCCAGCAGGCUGAAGUGACAAGAGAGAGAGUGUACGCUAUGCAUCAGUCCAGUAUAGAUGGGGUGGAGGACAUGUCCACUCUGGCAGAACUACACGAAGCUGCCAUCAUGCACAACCUCUACCAACGCUACCAGAAAGACAGCAUCUAUCUAAGUAGUUCACAUCUGCUUUACUGCCACCCAGCCUCAGCCCUACUACCCAUAAUGCACCUCUCUACAGUAGUAGACAACAGUACUGUGUUUUCCCCUAAAUAGAGAUAGGUUUGAUAUCAUGAAUUGACAGGCAGACAGACACAGAACAUAGAAAUAUACAUGGAUUAAAGGACACAGAGACACACAGAGUGACCUAAUGUAGAUGAGGGGACACACUGUGUGUGUCUGUGUGAGACAGGGGGCACGGCGGAUGACCUUAUCGAGAUGAUGAGGAGGGAUUUCCUUUAAGCUGAUCGCAUUAGUUCACCCGGUGUGCUGGUCACGUUUCUGUGUCAGUGUGUGUGUCAGUGUGUGUGUGUCCAGAGAAUAUGCGGAGCACAGAAUAUGAUCCGAUGUGAGGCUUGCUGACUUGAUGUGUCAGCAGAACGUAAGGGAAGUAAACAAGAACUGCUCUUUUCUAAUACUCCAAAAUGGCUGGCCUCCUCUCUCCUUUCUCCUCUCUCCUCUCUCCUCUCUCCUUCCUCCUCUCUCCUCUCUCUAGUUCUGUUCUCUCCUCUCUCCUCUCUCCUUUCUCCUCUCUCCUCUCUCCUCUCUCCUUUCUCCUCUCUCCUCUCUCUAGUUCUGUUCUCUCCUCUCUCCUCUCUCCUUUCUCCUUUCUCCUCUCUCCUCUCUCCUCUCUCCUUUCUCCUCUCUCCUCUCUCUAGUUCU
rnacentral:lncRNA from 13 species